rnacentral:misc_RNA from 1 species
GCCAACCCCUACUAACUCUGGUGGCAGUUUCUCUUCUUUUCUUGUCCUUUUGUCUUUUAUCUAACUAUUAUGUAUUGUUUUUCAACCCUAAAAGAAAACUUCAUGUACAUUUCUUUUUAAUUUUUGUGAUCCGCAAAGAUUUCUCACUGCAAUAUAUAUACACCUAGAAGAUUUUUCAGUUCGCUUGUCUUGUCCGUACUUAGUAGACUCAUAUCAGGAAAUGCAGAAUUGGUAACAAGUUACAUAAAUUCUAGAAAGUUUUCUCCCUGCUGCUGGAAGCUUUACAAUGCAGUAUACAACUUGUCUAUUCUCCUCUUGAAAUUUGUGUUGACUUCGUUUCUGAUCUUACUUGUGUGUACAAUUCUGAUAAAUAGAGUAAUAUAUUUCUGGAUAAGUUAAGCCUUUCCUGUUGUGCUAGAAUAGACAUAACUUCUGUUUGAAUUUACUUAUGUACUUUGGUGGUCAGUUACAGUCCAAUGGAAAGAAGAGA